CACUACAUUAACCGGCUCAUCAAAGCCUGAUCUCUUCAGAUCUCAGAAGCUAAGAAGGGCUGGGUGUAGUUAGUACUGGGAUGGGAGACCACGGGGAAUAUCAAGUGCCACAGUGGGGC
rnacentral:rRNA from 1 species